UUAGGACCGCUUAAGCCUGG
rnacentral:misc_RNA from 1 species